UACGGAGGAUGCAAGCGUUAUCCGGAUUCACUGGGUUUAAAGGGUGCGUAGGCGGGCAGGUAAGUCCGUGGUGAAAUCUCUGAGCUUAACUCAGAAACUGCCAUGGAUACUAUUUGUCUUGAAUAUUGUGGAGGUAAGCGGAAUAUGUCAUGUAGCGGUGAAAUGCUUAGAUAUGACAUAGAACACCAAUUGCGAAGGCAGCUUACUACACAGUUAUUGACGCUGAGGAACGAAAGCGUGGGGAGCAAACAGG
rnacentral:rRNA from 1 species